ensembl:lncRNA
GCCAGACUGCUAUGGCCAAGAGGAGCUACCCUGAGUCCAAGGUCAGGGGCGGCAGCCAGGAGGAGCGCCCCCACGCCCCAGGCCAGGGGCGGCGGCCCGGAGGACCAACCCCACAUUCAAGGAGCUGUGGCUGCGCGGGCGCAGGAGGGCCUAGAGGAGCUAUCCCACGUUGAAGGUCAGGAGGGGCGGCGGUGAGGAGAUACCCCUCGUCCAAGCAUGACUUUAGUUUGACAGCCAAGCAAAACCACAGUGAGAAGAAGAACUCAGUUAAACAUCCAUUUAAGUGAUGGGCAGGUUAUCAUAAAGGUCUUCUGAUGCAGAAUGGACACUGGACAUUCCUGGACUCGAUAAACACCAGUUCACAGUAGAGCCACCAAGGGGGCUGCAGACUCAAAUCAAGAUGUGCCAGGAGCCAGCGUGAGGAACUCUGCCUGUGGCAAAGGUCAUGAGGAAGGAGAUUCGGCAUAUGCAAAGGCGGGAUCGAGCCUCAGGAGUCCCCCUGGAAAUUCUCGAGCAUCUACCCCCAAAACCAGAGUCUGCCUACUUUCUGCCUUGUGCUCUCACCUACACCUCUGACUUUACGGGGGGCUGUCCCCCACCACCAUCUCUCUGUCUGAAAAAGAGUUAACUUACAGCUCCAGUUAAUAAAGUUCCUGGGCGUGACAAGAGUGUUUUAUUUCACAACCAUGAGAG